AGGACGAACGCUGGCGGCGUGCUUAACACAUGCAAGUCGAGCGGAAAGGCCCUUCGGGGUACUCGAGCGGCGAACGGGUGAGUAACACGUGAGCAACCUGCCCUUAGCUCUGGGAUAGCUCCGGGAAACCGGAAUUAAUACCGGAUACGACCUAGGCCGACAUCGGCCAUGGUGGAAAGUUUUUCGGCUAGGGAUGGACUCGCGGCCUAUCAGCUAGUUGGUGGGGUAAAGGCCUACCAAGGCGACGGCGGGUAGCCGGCCUGAGAGGGCGACCGGCCACACUGGGACUGAGACACGGCCCAGACUCCUACGGGAGGCAGCAGUGGGGAAUCUUGCGCAAUGGGCGAAAGCCUGACGCAGCGACGCCGCGUGGGGGAUGAAGGCCUUCGGGUUGUAAACCCUUUCAGCAGGGACGAAGCGAAGUGACGGUACCUGCAGAAGAAGCGCCGGCUAACUACGCGCCAGCAGCCGC
rnacentral:rRNA from 1 species